UAAAAUAUAGUUUUUAUCCUCAUUUGCGAAAUUUUAAUCUAAGUGAAAAUACUUAGCAGUUGUACUAGGACGAGAAGACCCUAUGAAGGUGGCAAACUAUUAAUACAUAUUCCUAUUAUUUAUUAGUUUAUUUUUUGGGGUAAAAUUUAAUAAUACUAUUAACACAAUUGUACUAAAUUACAUCCUUUAGGAAUUAUGAAUAAGCUCCUCUAGGGAUAACAGCAUUAUGCUUAAAAGAGUUCUUAUCAGAAUAAGCGUUUGUGACCUCGAUGUUGAAUUAAAUGCUCUUUUAUGUGCAGGAGCUUAGAAGAGACGGUCUGUUCGACCUAUUAUAUUUACAUGAUUUGAGUUAAAAUCGAC
rnacentral:rRNA from 1 species